rnacentral:rRNA from 1 species
AUGGGAACACAACCAAUGUUGGUUGCAUUGGCACACGGCAUUAGAGCAACAUCUUCAAGAAAAGAUUGUGUACACAAAAACAUCUUCAAGAAAAGAUUCGCCAAAAAAUAUCUUCCACCCGAACACCCCAAAAAUAUCUUCUGGAAAAAAAGAUAUUAUCUUCAUAAAGAAAACGGAAUGACCGAUUUGUAUGGGCUGAAAACUUCGCUUAACUUUAAACUAUGGAAAAUAUACAUACGAACUGUGAGACCACAUGUUGUCUUUUUUUUAGAGAAAAAUAUCACAUGUUGUCUGCAUGGCCAGUGUGAAAUAAUUCAGUGUAUAUGUCAUGAACAAUCAGUGUAG